rnacentral:rRNA from 1 species
UUAUCAAAAACAUGUCUUUUUGUAUUUAAUAUAAAGUCUAACCUGCCCAUUGAAUAAUUUUAAAAGGCCGCGGUAUUUUGACCGUGCAAAGGUAGCAUAAUCAUUAGUUUUUUAAUUGAAAACUCGUAUGAAUGGUUGAACGAAAUAUUAACUGUCUCAUAAAAAUUUUAAUAGAACUUUACUUUUUAGUUAAAAGGCUAAAAUUAAAUUAAAGGACGAGAAGACCCUAUAGAGUUUUAUAAUAUAAUAAAUAUAAUUUAUAAAGAAUUAUUAAAAUUUUAUUUAUUAAUAUUAUUUUGUUGGGGUGACAAUAAAAUUUAAAAAACUUUUAUUAUUUUUUAACAUUAAUUUAUGAAUUAUUGAUCCAGUUUUAUUGAUUAAAAAAUUAAAUUACCUUAGGGAUAACAGCGUAAUUUUUUUUUAGAGUUCAUAUCGAUAAAAAAGAUUGCGACCUCGAUGUUGGAUUAAGAGUAAAUUUUAGGUGUAGAAGCUUAAAAAUUAGGUCUGUUCGACCUUUAAAUUCUUACGUGAUCUGAGU